ACAAGCAUGUGCCACCACCCCUGGCUAAUUUUGUAUUUUUAGUAGAGACGGGGUUUCUCCAUGUUGGUCAGGCUGGUCUCGAACUCCCUACCUCACAUGAUCCACCUGCUUCGGCCUUCCAAAGUGCUGGGAUUACAGGCGUGAGCCACUGUGCCAGCCCUAAUUGGCUCUUUUUAAAUGUAGAAAAACAGUUAUCAUCAUUCUGGGAUCAUUGGGAUUAUUGGUUCUGCCUCCAGAUAAGCAGAAUAAACAAACCUCAGUUCCAGUGGAAACUGCUUCUGUUGCAUUUGUCCACACGAGGCUCUCACAGCCAAUUCUAAUUGGUUAUUUGCUUUUCUCUUGUGUCUGUAUCUUCACAUUUACCUAGGCUAAUGGACAGCUCCUGAGAAUAUUGUCACUUAAGAUGUUUCCAAAAACUAUUUGCCCUAUGUUAGCAGAGCUAAUCAGCUCACUUGCAUAUAGGGUUGUCCAUAGGAUUUAGUUUCUGUUUUCAUUUCAGGAAGGGGUCAAGUAGCUUGUGAUAGACCUUUAAAAAGUAUAAGUGAUAUAUCUACUUAAAUAUAUUCCUAUUUCAGUAAACUUAUAUCAGGGGUAGGAGGGACAAGUACAUACCCAGCCAACUGAUUUCACAUGAUCUUGCCACUAAAUAUUAUUAGAUAGGAAAGUAAAGGCAUUAUACUUAUUCUUUUUUAUUUUUAUUUUUUGAGACAGUGUUUCACUUCAUCUCCCAGGCUUGACUUCAGUGGCACAGUCAUAGCUCACUGCAGCCUCGACCCCCAAGGCUCAAGUGAUCCUCACACUUCAGCUUCCCUAGUAGUUGGGACUAUAGGCGUGUACCACCACACCCAGCUGGGUUACACUUUGUCUAGUCUUCUCUUUUACAGUUAUAUACAAUAACCUGCACCCACUAUUUUAUUCUUGAGAUUGCAGUGAUAGAAAAGUAGGAUAAGAAAGGGCUGGGGGUAAAGUGGAAAAUGGGAUGAAUGAGAGAGUCAUUCAUAACUUAUUCAGAUUUAAGUAUUGGAUUAUUGAUUUAUAUAUAGUCUAGUUCCCCACAUAGAAACUAUAUCCAUAGCUGACAUAAAUUUUUUUUUUAUUGCAGUAUGUGAUUAUACUUCACUUGUCUAAAAGACUUUGGUCCAACAACUUCUCUUCUCUAUAAUAUAAACAAGAAGUAGGAAAUAAGGGGGAUCGCUGUGAUAAAUGAUAAGUUGUAAUAUUUCUGCACUAAUGCUCAUGAACUUGGCUGAAAAGACAGCCCUUUUGAUUUUCAGUCAGUCCCUGUUUUCCCUGCCUGUAGAAGUAACAUGGAAGUAACCUAUUUGAAAGGAGGAGAAGGCAGGUGGUAGCAAGCAUGAUGGUAGCAUAAGAAGUGGCAGUGGAUGGCCAGGUGUGAGCCCCUGCGCCCAGCUGACACCCAGAUUCUUGACCUACAGAAACUUAAUUUUCAG
rnacentral:lncRNA from 1 species